rnacentral:lncRNA from 1 species
AAAAAAAAGUGCUUAAAUGUUUAUUUCCCUGAUACGUGCGACCUGGGCCUGCUGGAUUCGUCCCAGGGGGUCUGUCAUGUGACCAUGUGGCUGAGAUAUGGAUGAUGUGACCAGUGGAGACGGACAGGCCAUUACAACAUGAAAUACAAGGGGACAGAAAUAGCACUACAUUAUAAGUGCACUUGGGCCCUGUGUGAAAAAUGCUCACUAGUUAAAGCAAGGUCAACAAUAUGAUUCGAAGUUCAUGUUCAUAAAUAUUCUGCCAGUGAACCAUUCUUAUGCACACCAUGAAACUUGGAAACAGCUCAUAUUUAUUUCUGCACCUUUCGGAAUGAGGCAGAACACGGUAGUGCCAAGGUGUCACUUUGAGUUCUGUCUUGAAUUUGCACCUCCUGGGUGACGAAAUUCUCAUAGUCGCCUAUAAAAAAGUUUCGCAGUUUAUUCAGGCUCAGCUGAAAACAUAAAAAGAAGAAAUAAAUCAGAUCAAAACGCACCAUCACCCCACUUCUGUUUUGGUCUGAAAACGCUUACAACUGGCAUGUUCGACAGUGAGCAUGAAUUAUUAUUAGCCAUUCCAUCAUAAUAAAUGAUGGUAUUCAGAUGACAUUAAUUAGCAUAGUUGAAGUCCUCUGCUAAAAUGAGUGGGUGACACUUGGGUGGGUGAUGCAAUGGGUUAUUUUUAAGCGUGGGCACCUGUUCUCCAAAACACAAAUGAGUCAUGGGCUCAAAUGCAGGACCCAGCAGACCACCAUCGGCAGCCUGUCAGAGGCAAAGGAUGUUUCCUUUGGUCGCCUGUGCGCUUCUGGAUUGUCCUUAUAGUCUGUGUCGGUGCUAAGAAGGUAACAUGGCCAUUCUGCCCGGGUUGGUUAAAAAUAUCCCAUGAGUAUCAUCUUAGUUUCAUCCACCGUUCGCUGGGUACUAAGCGUGAGGCAUCGGCGUGCUCUGUGUCUCCGCAUCUCCGUGUCUACCAUUCCUCCAACAUUUCCCUGCCUUUUUUCUCAUCAAGCUGGAAAGAGACAGGAGCUCAUUGCUGACUAAUUCCUUGAAAAGGGUUCCUACACAGAAUGGAAUACGCCAUAAAAAGGAAAGAAAUGAGAUCAUGUCACCUUUUGGAAGGUGAUUUAGCUGA